ensembl:lncRNA
UUUAGUUUUGAGGGGGUUUUUUUUGUUGUGAUUAAUAUUACUAUAAAUAAUGAGGUUAGGUGUGCUAUGAAAGUUACAAUUAGGCAUGUUUGCAGGACCUGGCCUAACAUCUACUGAGAGAGGACUCACACAGACUGUAACUUACAUUCCUCAUUACACAUGUACACGUCUUUACCUGUAACAGCUUGUGUUUACCGUUUAGUCAAACAUGGCCACAUUCUACAAGUUUUCUUCCCAGUUUAGUGUUUUACAAUAAGCAUGUGUGAAUAGAUGGAAAAAUUAGUCAUUAUUAUAAAUGGCUAGCUAAAGUAUGUAAUGGAUAAAGACAUACUGAAAAUGAAAAUAUUUUUCUCUUAAAAUGAAGCUGAUUUUCAUAUCAGAUAUUUACUGAACCUUAUUUAAGUCUACUUCUUUUAUUUCUAGGACUUCUGCCAUCUCUGCAAGCAUUCUUUCACCAAGAUGAUGAGAAUGUCCAACACGUCCUGGUAGCACAAGGGAACAGCUUCCUAAGUUCAUGACUCAGUCACUCUGUAAGAACACCUAAACCAUCUCGGUUUCUUUCAAAUGCUUAUAUAUCAUAUACCUGCUGGCAACAUGGCUGUAAAUUGACAUGGGGUUACAGGUCUAAAAAGAGUUUGUGGAACUUUUACUUUUGAGGUUAUGAUGAUCGCUUGUAUUGUAACUACUUUGCUGCAUUUUGACAACGCUCAUCCCUCUGUGCACUUUUACAUUUACUGUGCUAAUAAAGCAUGCCUGGCAACCAGGCUGGAAACACCACUUAAAAGGACCAUUUUACUGUGUGCAGAGCCUUUUACUGCUACGGCAUCCACCCUGUAGCUAGAAGAUGUGAGCCAAGGUCUUGAAUCACAUCUCUACAAGUUUUCCCUCCAAAAGUGAUGACUGAUCUUCCAGUUCAUUUUGGUUGAAAAGAAAGUUCAGGAAAGGGUUGCAUAUAAUAAUUAUAGUAAUACAACAAACACUGAGAAAAUAGUAGUACGUUACCUGAACACUGACUAGAUAAUCAAAAACUGCAAUCUAGUACUAAAAGACAAAUCAAAGCAGAGCAAGGAAUACUAUACAACAGUGGUUAGCAGAAAGUCAUGUUUAACUCUGUGCCACCUGCUGAAAUUAGUUUUGCUGCCGUUAAGACUGGAUAGAAGGACAGUGGUGACUCCAGCGGCUCGCCCUCCACGGCGAGGGCUGGCUGUGACUUCGCAGAUGGCAGUGGCUCGCUCCGCGGCAGCCCGCCGUCCAGUCGCUUCUGGCUGUGAGCAGCCACCCGCGCAGCUCCACCACCACGGCGGAGGGGUACAGGGGGUCUCACCCUUCCAGUAACAGUUAAUGCCAUUGGGAAUUCUCCCCCCCCGGAUCGCCCGCGGCCCCGCCGCCGCUCCCCGCUCCCCCGGCACAGCCAGCUCCACCGCCGCACCGCCGGCGCUGCCCGGGCCCCGGCUCACACCCGCCACGAUGUCCGCCUCACCGCGGGAUGGGAUCAUCCCCCCCCACUCCCCUUCCGCUCCGCAGCCGCUAGCGGAUUUUCCGCGGCUCCCUCCACGGCAGCCCGGCUCCAGGGGAGCCGCCGUGCGCCUCCAGCGCCGUGCCAACGGCAAGGACGGCACCUCCACCUGUUACCUGCUCCCGGCUCCGCCCGGCCGGAGGCCAACACCCAGCUCACGCCCCACUCGUACCCCUCACGCCACCACAGCCCGGAGCGGCGCGGAGCAUAGUGGCGGGGUUGAACGGAC